GCUAUGAUGAAUUUGAUUGCACUGAUCAUAUGAUAUGAUAACGUAUUGUCCUCUAAGAAGUUCUGAGCUU
rnacentral:snoRNA from 12 species